GGGCACGACCGCCCUCUGCGCCCGGCUAAGGCCAGGGCCACCGCGGGAGGCACGGUGCGCUGGAGAACCGUCCUGGCAAGCGAGGAACCGCUUCUGUUUCACUUUUGUUUGGCAAGGCAAGAAAGUUAAAACCAACAGCGUCCGUGGCCUACAGUCAGACCCCACCUUCUGCAGCACAUGAGGGCACCUGCAGAGGGGAACUCACAGGGACAGGGCGGGGGCAGCUGUCGCCCCAUGGCUCUGCGAGAAGAGAAUGAGGGAGGGGGCGCAGGCCAUCAGGGGAUCUACCCAGCACUGCCCUGAAGCCUCUCGCCCCAGCAUUCCAGCCCAGCCCUCUGCUCCCCUUCUCUCGGGUUCCUCGGCGUCUAUCCCUGACUUAAGCCUCUGCUAAGCAAGGUCCACAGAAACAUGUUCACUGUUACAUCACUGUCUCAAAAAUCAAGGCAAGAAAAACACGAAAUGAAAACAAAACUACCAAUAGCAGAAUCUCCACACCGUUUCCUGCAGCCUGAGCCUCAGGAAACUUUCCUUACUGAGUCAACAGGACCCGGACGGGCCUCGGGAAGAACAGAAUCGGGGUUUGUGCAGGUGUGGACAUGUGCAUCCUUAAACCUUCUAAAAUCUUCUUUCAAUGAACCCAGCUCAAGUGCAGGAAAGCUGCCAAUCUGCACACGUAGAAACGCUGGCGGGAAACCGACUGCCCUUCUCAAGAAUCAUCAUGGAUGUUUGCAACCACAUCUCAACACACAACCAGCUUUCACGAUUGCCAAGUCCUGGGCGGGGUAUCACAGCACUGUCUAGAUUUGGCCUGUGCCACCAACAGAAGCCUUGGAUUAAACCAGAAUCAAUAGUAAUAAAUAGCUCUCUAAACCAAAUAUGUUGAAAUCACUAAUGCACUCAUAUUUUUACGAUUAUAGCAUUUUAAAGUAACCAACCCAAUACCGAUCUCUACUUAUAGAGAAAACACCUAUUAGGCACACUUAUAGAAAAAUCCUCUGUGCCUUGUAUAUUCACACAGCACGUGUGAUCACUCAAAGGAACUGAAUGCCUGGAGGGUGAAC
rnacentral:lncRNA from 1 species